AAGUCUGGUGCCAGCAGCCGCGGUAAUUCCAGCUCCAAUAGCGUAUAUUAAAGUUGUUGCAGUUAAAAAGCUCGUAGUUGAAUUUCGGGGUUAGUAGGUUGGUCAUGCCUCUGGUAUGUACUGGUCUCACUGAUUCCUCCUUCCUUAUGAACCGUAAUGCCAUUAAUUUGGUGUUGCGGGGAAUUUGGACUGUUACUUUGAAAAAAUUAGAGUGUUUAAAGCAAGCUAACGCUUGAAUACAUUAGCAUGGAAUAAUGAAAUAGGACGUUCGAUCUUAUUUUGUUGGUUUCUAGGACUGACGUAAUGAUUAAUAGGGAUAGUUGGGGGCAUUAGUAUUCAAUUGUCAGAGGUGAAAUUCUUGGAUUUAUUGAAGACUAACUACUGCGAAAGCAUUUGCCAAGGAUGUUUUCAUUAAUCAAGAACGAAAGUUAGGGGAUCGAAGACGAUCAGAUACCGUCGUAGUCUUAACCAUAAACUAUGCCGACUAGGGAUCGGAUGAUGUUAAUUUUUUAAUGACUCAUUCGGCGCCUUACGGGAAACCAAAGUGUUUGGGU
rnacentral:rRNA from 1 species